UACGAGGGGGGCGAGCGUUGUUCGGAAUUAUUGGGCGUAAAGGGUGCGUAGGCGGUUUGGUAAGUCUGAUGUGAAAUCUAUGGGCUCAACUCAUAGUCUGCAUCGGAAACUGCCGGGCUUGAGUGUGGGAGAGGUGAGUGGAAUUCCUGGUGUAGCGGUGAAAUGCGUAGAUAUCAGGAGGAACACCGUGUGGCGAAAGCGGCUCAUGGACCAUAACUGACGCUGAGUGCACGAAAGCUAGGGGAGCAAACAGG
rnacentral:rRNA from 1 species